AGCCGUCAAUUGAAACUCUACAUUUUCAAAACAGUUAACACACCUGUCUAAAAAGUAUCACUUAUGGCAAAAUGACACAUUUCGUUUGCAAAAGGCUCUAGCCAUGCCAAAACAUUUAAAAUAGGCAACAAAAGCAAAUUUUGCCUUCAAACAACGCAACUUGCAAACAAGUAUAGGAGCUCUUUCAGUCAGUCAUUAUACAGUGGACAACAAAAGACAAAAUACACAACUCAGUGUGAAUCAGUGCACAAUUGCUUGUCC